UUGAUCCAGCGAGGCGCCCAUUGCCGCUCCCGAUUGGGCUAAAGGCUUGCAAUUGUUCCUGCACGCUAAGUGCCUGGGUUCAUCCUCAUCAAGCUGGGUUCCACGGUUCUCUUCAUGACCCGCAGCUUCUAACAGAGCUAUAAAACUCUGUGCAUGGCCCAAGAUUCCAUUCCUUGGAAUCUGUGAGGCCAAGAACCCCAGGUCAGAGAACAGGAGGCUUGCCACCAUCUUGGAAGUGGCUCGCCACCAUCUUAGGAGCUCUGUGAGCGGAGACCCCCACCCCCCGGUAACAUUUUGGCGACCACGAAGGGACCUCCAAAGCGAGCUAGGGAGAUACCUGUGCCAACUCUGGCUUUGUUUGCUCUGCCAGACAAUCCUGAUGCUGCAAAGUCAAAUCAUCGUGAAGGAAGUUUGUGCAAAUGUGGGAAACAGGACUAUAAUCCUGCUUGAAGUUUGCUUAGAUUCCUGGGAAGUCUCCCUAUUCCAACCCUUUUUGAGAAAUGCCCACAGCUCAUAACCUACCUGAGGUUAUUUGGGUCUCAGGAAACACACAGCAUGUGCCAAUGUUCCAAGAAUGAAGCUCUGGUUCCCAGCUUCUGCUGCUCCAACUUCUAUAGCAGCAAGGAGAAAAGAGUAACAGACAUACUGAUCACAUCUAAUUAGAAGGUAAGAAGUAUUCCCUUGAGCAUGUUUAUGACACAGGCACAAUAGGACAGGAGUAGUCUAUUCAAGCGGGUUCCUCAAUCUCAGGACUACUGACAUUCUGGAGAGAAACAUUCUUUGUGUCGGGGGAUGGGGGCUGUUCUGUGCAUUUCAAAAGCUUCUUUGGAUUCUUUCCACUAGAUGUCAAUAGCAUCCCUCCCACCACUGUGGCAAUCCACAACAUCUCCAAACAUCACUAAUAUCCCACAGGGAGAAAAUUUUUCCGGAUUUAGAACCACUGUACUAAGGGAAAAUUAAAACUAGAAAUUUGUAAUUGGUCAGCAUUAUAUACUGAAUGCAUGAAGUAUAAGUAGUCUACAUAGUGAAAAAAUAA